rnacentral:rRNA from 1 species
CCAAUAGCGUAUAUUAAAGUUGUUGCAGUUAAAAAGCUCGUAGUUGAAUUUCGGGGUCAGUAGGUCGGUCGUGCCACUGGUAUGAACUGGUUUUACUGAUUCCUCCCUCUUGAAGAACUGUAAUGCCAUUAAUUUGGUGUUGCAGGGAAUCAGGACUGUUACUUUGAAAAAAUUAGAGUGUUUAAAGCAGGCUUUAGCUUGAAUACAUUAGCAUGGAAUAAUGAAAUAGGACGUUUGAUCCUAUUUUGUUGGUUUCUAGGAUUGACGUAAUGAUUAAUAGGGAUAGUUGGGGGCAUUAGUAUUCAAUUGUCAGAGGUGAAAUUCUUGGAUUUAUUGAAGACUAACUACUGCGAAAGCAUUUGCCAAGGAUGUUUUCAUUAAUCAAGAACGAAAGUUAGGGGAUCGAAGACGAUCAGAUAUCGUCGUAGUCUUAACCAUAAACUAUGCCGACUAGGGAUCGGAUGAUGUUAAUUUUUUAAUGACUCAUUCGGCGCCUUACG